UGUAGAGGGCCAAAAAAUGAGAGUUCGAAGGAUCCUUCGGGUCUAGUGGCGCACGGGUGCGUAACGCGUGGGAAUCUGCCCUUAGGUUCGGAAUAACUCCCCGAAAGGGGUGCUAAUACCGAAUAAUGUCUUCGGACCAAAGAUUUAUCGCCUUUGGAUGGGCCCGCGUAGGAUUAGCUUGUUGGUGGGGUAAUGGCCUACCAAGGCGACGAUCCUUAGCUGGUCUGAGAGGAUGAUCAGCCACACUGGAACUGAGACACGGUCCAGACUCCUACGGGAGGCAGCAGUGGGGAAUAUUGCGCAAUGGGCGAAAGCCUGACGCAGCCACGCCGCGUGAGCGAUGAAGGUCU
rnacentral:rRNA from 1 species